UCGGGAGCCAACUAGGGACGAGCGAGGGAAGUGGAGGCGCAGGGAGGGCUGGUGGGGAGCAGACAAAAAAAAGGAGCUCACCGUUGCAGGGUUGGGCCUGGGAUGGGCAAGUGUGUGGUACCCGGCAGAAGCGGACGAGUUGAGAUCCUGCGGGCAGGGCUCCCACGAUACGAAAAACAGUGCAUUUCACUUUAGGCCCCCAAGGAGCGAGCCCCCCGAGCCGCCGGAGGAACGACUGCUGGGGCUCAAAUGGACGACUUUUUAGAGUCUUAUGCCAUCUAUUUCCCUAGCAACAUCCUAAAUUCUAAGAUGAUAAGUAAAAUUACUUAAUGUCAAAUAUAAUUUUCAUUCCUAUCAUUUCAGGUAAUGGAUCUGGUAUACUGCUUAUGGCUGUCCCUUUCAGAGUGAGGCUUCUGAGAGCUUGAAGACUUUAACGGAUGAAUCAUCUGAUAAAGGUAUCAGGUCCUGAAGAACCUUCCUCUUAGGCCAUUCCUUGGCCAGUUCCACAGAGGCCAGUUCCUGCAGGUGAUAUACAG